CUUUCAGGUUGUCUGCACAAUUACCUCCAAACCCUUGCUAACACCCCCUGGACAAAUGAAUGGUCUCCCAAGGCUACACAAUGGGAACAUUCAAGUUCAACAGCUGUACAAGCCAGGUAGCUUCUCCACAGUGUUUUUGCUCCAAAGUAUGUCAGUGCAAAUUGUUAGCUACCAAUGUCAAUAAUUCUGCUGUUUAAGAAAUGAUGGUCAUGAAAUGUUCUUCCAUCUCAGCAGAGGUGGAUGAUCUAAUUUAUGCAGACAGGAAAAUAAGAGGUCCCGGUCAAAACAUUAGACCACAAACACCAACAAUACUGACUGAGUGAGUAAAGAUAUACCGACUUAAUGUUACAAUCGUCAGUUAAUCCAAAACUUUCCAUCAAUGAAAUUGCUGCUGCAAAGACACGUGAACUUUGAUAUUUGCUGUUGUUUUGUUCCCUCUGUAAGGACAACAGAGAGUCUGAAAGCAUUCAUCCAUAAUCUCCAGCAGUUUUGGUUUUCCCUCUCAAAUGGGAUCCUUUAGAAUCACAGCUUUGGUUGUUUCCUCAUCCCUGACCCUCACAGUAACCAUAACCUUCUAUAUUUGUACAUGUCUUUGGCAGCAGAGUCCAGUAUCAGUAUCUAGGUUGAACUACAUUGUUCUGUGAAUGGAUGACACACUGAGUAAAGUGCUGGUCUACAGAGUUGCUGUCCUGCAGGUUCUGCAGGUUCCUUUUGUUUCAGUUUCAAGACUUGCCCUCAUUUUUAGAUGGAAAGUUAUUUUCUGACUCUCUUUGGUAUGCACAUAUGUUAAGCAUAUAACAGAGAAGUCAGGAAAAUAGUCAUGGUUAUCACUUGGGGUGAUUGUCGUUGCUGAUUUUAAUAUAGGAAAUAUACCUAUUCCAAUCUCACUGAGAUGUUCAGGUCUGUAGACAUUAAAUUAUGACACAACUUUAAGACCCAUCAUCUCAUUUCUUAGAUCAGUCCACAGCUUCUUAAAAUACAUUCAACCUUUGACCCAUUUCCUCCUUCUCCAACCUCCACAUUAUCCUCCAACCACCUUCGUAAAAUCUCUAUCUUCAAUGACAGAUAGCGAGGUGAAAGAGUGAGUUUGGUAUGAACUUUUCCUUUCUGUGGUAUUUUACAUUGAAGCUACAAGUUCCAAGUUCAAUUGUAAACCUUGCUCUAAGUUGGUGUGAGAUUCUGUAAAACAGUGGUAGGAUGGUAAAGUUUUGAACCAGAAUACAUCACUAAAACACAUAUGAUGACCUUUACUGCUGCUUUCAUUUUAUGUGAGUGGAGCAAAUAUCAUUAUCAUUACAAUAGAGUACUGCUAGGAUAAUGUGUCUGCAAUUUCACCUGUCUGUAGUUCUGUCAUUAUUAACCCUUUGUCAUAUUUUACUUACCUUUACUUUGCAGUGAGUUGUCAGUGGGCAUUAACAGCAGGUAUCUCCUCUGUCCAUCUCUCUCUUUCUUCAUCUCUCUCUAUCAGUGGCUGAAUCUCAAUCUCCUCCCUGAACCCUGAGCCCUGAGUCCCCAUUGACUUAAGGGACUGCACCCAGAAAGUGAUUGAGUGAAUGAGGCGGCAAGGGCUUGAGGUACUAUGAAUAGGAAUGGGACAGCCUUUUGUUGAAAGCAAUGCAUCAUGCUACUCAAAAUUGCAGCUUUGUGGCUUUUUAUUUUACCUUUUUUGCUUUACUAAACUGCAUUUUAGUCGAGUCAGAAAAAUAGCAUUAAACAAUGAUCUACUCCCACAUAGGCAUUGAUAAGCUUGACAAGAAAUAAAACAAAUAUACCUUUCCUACAUGGCUAUUUCCUUUGUUGAUUAAGGCUGUUUUCAUAUAUAAUAUAUAAUAUACCUACACAAGAUCUUCUUUUUUGGAGCGUCAAUACUGAUAACACCCUCCAUGUUUUUUGUUUGUUAUUUUGCUCAGUUCACUUCCAUUUUAUAGCAGCUGUCAUCUGGUUGCCCCGGGAGAUUCCUUUCAAACUUCACAAUGCAAUGAACUAUGGUUGAUUAACUUACACAAAGUCUGCAGAUAUGCCCACUCACAGGAAGGGUGCAUAAAGGGGCUCAAAAAGUCAGCAAGAGAUCCCUCAAACACUUUGUGAUUAGACAGUGGGACAGCCCUAAACCCUCACGGAGUGUGGACAUUGGGAUUGGGCCAGUGUCUCCUCUGUCCAUCUCUCUCCUCUGUCCAUCUCCCUCUCUUCCCUCUCUAAACCCAGCUCAGUCUCAGCAGAUGACUGUCUAACAUCAGUCCGGUCCUGCUGAAGGUUUCUGCCUGUUAAAGGAAGUUCUUCCUCUCCACUGUAACUUGAUAAAUGCUACAAAGUCUGGUGAAACCAAAUUACAGCUGAAGUUACAAACCAACAUUUUUCAACCUAUGGUUUAGUGUUGACUUACCCUAAUACAGACAGCUCUUCUUAGUGGCAGCAGCCUCUCCCUUCCUCCCUCCCUUCUCUCCUUUCCUUUUCCCCUGGUGGGCGUGAGUGAGGUGUGUGCAGCACAGACAGGUGCAGGCAAUUGGUAAUCACCAGACUCUCCAACCUCUGCCAUAAAACCAGAUCGCAGCCACAACUCAGAUCUAGAAUGCUGUAAAAACACAGUUAGUGAAAUGAAUUUUGAUCAAACUUGCUGCCUUUUUUGUUCUACCCUGGAUGCUGAUCCUUUGUUUGUUUGUUUGUUUGUUUUUUAUUAAAGUUUCCAGCCCAUCCUUCCUGCUUCAUUCUGCUCACCUGCUGGACUUCUAAAUCACUCAGCCAUGCCACACGCAUCCUCAGCCUGCCGUCCCUUACCCUCUCCCUAAACUGAUCCUGCACUAAGACUCUCUACUUGCUCUCUGGGUCGGUUUGUUGAAGCCAAGUUAAUUAUUUGUUUUGUAGAGUGUUUUGUUUUCUUUUCAGCUUGUUUCCUGGUUAUUUAAUUUUCUGAAUUUGGUUUUUUAUCUGG